AUACGGAAGGUGCAAGCGUUAGUUGGAAUUAUUGGGCGUAAAGGGUGCGUAGGCUGUUUUAUAAGUCGGGUGUGAAAUUUCGGGACUCAAUCUCGGAGCUGCAUUCGAUACUGUAGAACUAGAGGAGUGGCGGAGAAAAUGGAAUUCCAUAUGUAGCGGUGAAAUGCGUAGAUAUAUGGAAGAACACCUGUGGCGAAAGCGGUUUUCUAGCUUCUUUCCUGACGCUAAGGCACGAAAGCAAGGGGAGC
rnacentral:rRNA from 1 species